AGCGAACGCUGGCGGCAUGCCUAACACAUGCAAGUCGAACGAGACCUUCGGGUCUAGUUGCUCACGGGUGCGUAACGCGUGGGAACCUUCCCUUAUGUUCGGGAUAACUCCCCGAAAUGGGUGCUAAUACCGGAUAAUGUCUUCUGAUCAAAGAUUGAUCGCCUUUGUGUGGGCCGGCGUUGGUUGCGCUUUUUGGGAGGGUAAAAGCCUACGAAGGCGAGGAUCCAUAGCUGGGCUGAGAGGAUGAGCAGCCACACUGGGACUGAGACACGGCCCAGAAUCUUACGCGAGGCAGCAGUGGCGAAUCUAGGACAAUGGGCGAAAGCAUGAUCCAGCACUGCCGGGUGAGUCAUGAAGGUCUUAGGGUAGUAAAGCUCUUUUACACGGGAUGAUACUGACAGUACCGAAAGAAUAAGCUCCGGCUAACUCCGUG
rnacentral:rRNA from 1 species